UACGUAGGGGGCUAGCGUUGUCCGGAAUCAUUGGGCGUAAAGCGCGCGUAGGCGGCCCGGUAAGUCCGCUGUGAAAGUCAAAGGCUCAACCUUUGAAUGUCAGCGGAUACUGCCGGGCUAGAGUCCGGAAGAGGCGAGUGGAACUCCUGGUGUAGCGGUGGAAUGCGCAGAUAUCAGGAGGAACACCUAUAGCGAAGGCAGCUUGCUGGGACGAUACUGACGCUAAGGCUCGAAAGCGUGGGGAGCGAACAGG
rnacentral:rRNA from 1 species